rnacentral:rRNA from 1 species
AUUGAACGCUGGCGGCAGGCCUAACACAUGCAAGUCGAGCGAGCGGCGGACGGGUGAGGAAUGUAUGGGGACUGCCCGAUAGAGGGGGAGAACUACUGGAAACGGUAGCUAAUACAGAAGACUAUCGGAAAACCCAUAUGGGAUUAGCUAGUAGGUGAGGGAAUGGCUCACCCAGGCGACGAUCCCUAGCUGGUCUGAGAGGAUGAUCAGCCACACUGGGACUGAGCCACGGCCCAGACUCCUACGGAGGCAGCAGUGGGGAAUAUUGCACAAUGGGCGCAAUCCUGAUGCAGCCAUGCCGCGUGUAUUAAGAAGGCCCUAGGGUUGUAAAGUACUUUCAGUCGGGAGGCGUUACCGACAGAAGAAGCACCGGCUAACUCCGUGCCAGCAGCCGCGGUAAUAC